GCAACAAAAACAUUUAGGGGCUUGGGCUUAACCCUAUCCCACGCUCCUGUUCCACCACCUACCCGCUCCUGCUCUCGGUCACGUCCCAUCGGUUGGAAGCGUGAUAUGUGGAGGGGAGGACGAAGCAUUACGUCCUUCUCUCACCAGAAAACGUCCAAACAAACCCUUAUCCUCCUAGGCCCAAUAGGACUUCUAUUCAAAUUAGAAUCGAGUCCGCGAAGAAAAUAAUAGCGAGGCGCGCAGAAGGCCCAGCCAUGGGUGAAAAUGGCUAACUAGAAGCUUGGUACGCCCUAGUCUACCUCUACUCUAUUAUUCAUUUCAUGUUUAUUUGUUUUAAGUUGAUGUAUUCGUAAAAAUUGUAUUAAACUCAUAUUAUAGUGGAACCUUAUGUUUUGAA